GAUGAACGCUGGCGGCGUGCUUAACACAUGCAAGUCGAACGGGAAAUAUUUCAUUGAGACUUCGGUGGAUUUGAUUUAUUUCUAGUGGCGGACGGGUGAGUAACGCGUGGGUAACCUGCCUUAUACAGGGGGAUAACAGUCAGAAAUGGCUGCUAAUACCGCAUAAGCGCACAGAGCUGCAUGGCUCAGUGUGAAAAACUCCGGUGGUAUAAGAUGGACCCGCGUUGGAUUAGCUCGUUGGUGGGGUAACGGCCCACCAAGGCGACGAUCCAUAGCCGGCCUGAGAGGGUGAACGGCCACAUUGAGACUGAGACACGGCCCAGACUCCUACGGGAGGCAGCAGUGGGGAAUAUUGCACAAUGGGGGAAACCCUGAUGCAGCGACGCCGCGUGAAGGAAGAAGUAUCUCGGUAUGUAAACUUCUAUCAGCAGGGAAGAUAGUGACGGUACCUGACUAAGAAGCCCCGGCUAACUACGUG
rnacentral:rRNA from 1 species